rnacentral:rRNA from 1 species
GGCGUAAAGCGCAUGCAGGUGGUUGGAUAAGUCAGAUGUGAAAGCCCCGGGCUCAACCUGGGAACUGCAUUUGAAACUGUCUGACUAGAGUCCUGUAGAGGGGGGUAGAAUUUC